CAGCCGCCGCGGUAAUACGUAGGUGGCAAGCGUUGUCCGGAAUUAUUGGGCGUAAAGGGCUCGCAGGCGGUUUCUUAAGUCUGGUGUGAAAGCCCCCGGCUCAACCGGGGAGGGUCAUUGGAAACUGGGAAGCUUGAGUGCAGAAGAGGAGAGUGGAAUUCCACGUGCAGCGGUGAAAUGCGUAGAGAUGUGGAGGAACACCAGUGGCGAAGGCGACUCUCUGGUCUGUAACUGACGCUGAGGAGCGAAAGCGUGGGGAGCGAACAGGAUUAGAUACCCGCGUAGUCCCUGUCUCUUAUAC
rnacentral:rRNA from 1 species